rnacentral:rRNA from 1 species
UACGUAGGGUGCGAGCGUUGUCCGGAAUUAUUGGGCGUAAAGAGCUCGUAGGCGGCUUGUCGCGUCGGAUGUGAAAGCCCGGGGCUUAACCUCGGGUCUGCAUUCGAUACGGGCAGGCUAGAGUUCGGUAGGGGAGAUCGGAAUUCCUGGUGUAGCGGUGAAAUGCGCAGAUAUCAGGAGGAACACCGGUGGCGAAGGCGGGUCUCUGGGCCGAUACUGACGCUGAGGAGCGAAAGCGUGGGGAGCGAACAGG